rnacentral:rRNA from 1 species
UACGUAGGGGCUAGCGUUAUCCGGAAUUACUGGGCGUAAAGGGUGCGUAGGUGGUUUCUUAAGUCAGAUGUGAAAUCUCCGGGCUUAACCCGGAAACUGCAUCUGAAACUGCAGAACUUGAGUACUGGAGAGGAUAGUGGAAUUCCUAGUGUAGCGGUAAAAUGCGUAGAUAUUAGGAGGAACACCGGUGGCGAAGGCGACUAUCUGGACAGUAACUGACGCUGAGGCGCGAAAGCGUGGGGAGCAAACAGGAUUAGAUACCCUGGUAGUCCCUGA